UAAGAGCAUUUUGAACUGAGCAACAGUCUGAACUUCUCUGACUGUCAAAAUGAGCUUGUUCAGAGAAAUAUGAAGUGCAAAAAUAAUCAGUAAAUUAAAGAUUUCCCACCAAGUCCCUGCUUUCCAAACCGGACGGCAGCGCUUUUCUUUGGAUUAUGUGUUUUUUAGGAACUGAAUGAACAGUCGAAACCCACUUCCUUGUUUGGAUCUUUCCUUUGGUGGGAUUGGUUGGAAAACAUGGAGCGGAUUAUUUGUGUUGGACGGGUCGGACUGUAAACGAAAGGGACUAACGAAAACCAGGACUGGAUUAGAAAAUAAAUAAUUGGUGUUGAUUAUUGUAAACGUGUAUUCUGCUCUUUAUCUGUUGUAUAGAAGGAUUGUGUUAGUAGGUUUGAUAUUGUUAUAAUCAUUCCAGCCAGUAAGGUGGUUGCUUUUCCGGGCGCUGGGAGAGCCGGCCCUGCGACUUCCUGAUAUCUGCCGGCCUCCAAAGCAGUAUGGCGGAGGAGUCAGCGAGGGUUAGUUGAUGGUGUUGGCCUCCCCACUGAAACCCAACAAGUUCUCCACAGUCACCGGCUACCGAUUGCCGGCGCAAGCCGGACUUUCCUUGGAGGACGCCCAGCUGCGGCACAUGCAUCUCCGCCGAAACAACGAGGGCCUGAAAGUUGACUUGCUGGAUGGACAGCCAACCCAAACUGAGCCUGCAGAACUGGUAAACCCCUGCUGAUUUAGCCACACAAGCCUUUGCUGGCACCGUGGCAUCCGUCUGGAAGUGGGCGGAUCUGCUUUUUUUGGAGCCGUGUUUCAACAUUUUACUUAGCAUGCAUGCUUGUGGUGUCAGAGCGACAUUUAUACAAAAGCUAUAUAAUUUCUUAAUUAAAUAGACGAGAACAAUUUUAAAACUGGUGCAAUGACAUUUCAGCAGUUUCAGUCAGUCUUCUGCAAGCAAUAAAGGGAUGAUUUAGAGAAUCAGUGCAGUAGGAUGUGAUGAUUAUUUUGAUAACACAAAGCACCACAUACAUGCAGAUAAUGUUCAUUUCUGAAAACACCAAGAAUUUCUCACAUGGCUCGCAUUCACUGUAUUUGUAACUAAAAUGGCUGUAAAAAGCUUUGAUGUUUCAGUCAGGCAUGACAGAAACUACAAUGGUACCAAGAGCAGAGUCUGUGGAGGAUAGGCACAAGGUGUUAUUUUAAAAAAAUGUCAAUGUAGCAUGUUUUUCUUGAUUUUUGUAACUUGAAAUGUCCUAGUGCAGACCCUCAUAGAAUAUCCAGAGCUUGUAAGAGGCAUAAUAACAUGUCCAUGUACGAAAAUUUGAAUACACUGCAUACACGCAUUCUCUGCAGUUGUAUAGACAGAUGUGAGCACACACUCAGACAUACACAUUCACAUUUAUACUCAACCACAGCUCUUAAAACAGCCCUAGUUACAGCCUAGAGAACUCAGCAGUUUAGUGAAACAUGAUGCCCAGACCAUAAAAGUGUGUAUGUGUUGUGUGUGUAUGUGUGUGGUUUUGAGUGGUCUCAGCUGUGUGGGACACACUGCAAUGACAGCCAAUCAGAGCUAAUUCAAAAUCAGAGUGGUUUUGACGGCUCCGUGGUCUACCCCGGGGAACAAAGCGCUUUGUGUGUGGAUGCAUGUGGGUGCGUGAGUGCGUCUGUGCACACACCUCUUCAACCUUACUCUGCACUCCACCUGCUUCUCAUUGCCCAAAUGGCCUGACAAAAUCUGUUUUUUUGAUAUAUUCGGUAUUUGCAUUCCACUGCUUUUACUCCACAGACGUUAAAAUGAUGGAAAUGCAUGGGAGUUAUUUGAACUGAAAAUAAUCCAUUAAUAUGCAGUCUCUAUUAGAGAAGUCGAGCCACUUAUUCAACCUCUUUGUCAUGUUUGCAACACAUACUUUGAGUUGUCAGCAACCAGUGUAAUUGUGAAUUUUUAAAUCAAUCCUGACUCCUAGCUGUGAGGAAACUAAUUGGUGACUGAGGAAUCAAGAUGUUGGACCGUU